rnacentral:rRNA from 1 species
GGAAGGGGUGUAUUUAUUAGAUUAAAAACCAAUGCCCUCUGGGCUCUUUGGUGAUUCAUGAUAACUUCUCGAAUUGCACGGCCUUGCGCCGGCGAUGGUUCAUUCAAAUUUCUUCCCUAUCAACUUUCGAUGUUUGGGUAUUGGCCAAACAUGGUUGCAACGGGUAACGGAGGGUUAGGGCUCGACCCCGGAGAGGGAGCCUGAGAAACGGCUACUACAUCCAAGGAAGGCAGCAGGCGCGCAAAUUACCCAAUCCCGACACGGGGAGGUAGUGACAAUAAAUACUGAUACAGGGCUCUUUUGGGUCUUGUAAUUGGAAUGAGUACAAUUUAAAUCCCUUAACGAGGAACAAUUGGAGGGCAAGUCUGGUGCCAGCAGCCGCGGGUAAUUCCAGCUCCAAUAGCGUAUAUUAAAGUUGUUGUGGUUAAAAAGCUCGUAGUUGAACCUUGGGCCUGGCUGGCCGGUCCGCCUCACCGCGUGUACUGGUCCGGCCGGGCCUUUCCCUCUGUGGAACCUCAUGCCCUUCACUGGGUGUGACGGGGAACCAGGACUUUUAC